UACGGAGGGUGCAAGCGUUAUCCGGAUUUACUGGGUUUAAAGGGUGCGUAGGUGGGUAGGUAAGUCAGUGGUGAAAUCUUCAAGCUUAACUUGGAAACUGCCAUUGAUACUAUUUACCUUGAAUACUUUGGAGGUAAGCGGAAUAUGUCAUGUAGCGGUGAAAUGCUUAGAUAUGACAUAGAACACCAAUUGCGAAGGCAGCUUACUACACAGUUAUUGACACUGAGGCACGAAAGCGUGGGGAUCAAACAGG
rnacentral:rRNA from 1 species